UACGUAGGGUGCAAGCGUUAAUCGGAAUUACUGGGCGUAAAGCGUGCGCAGGCGGUUAUGUAAGACAGGUGUGAAAUCCCCGGGCUUAGCCUGGGAACUGCAUUUGUGACUGCAUAGCUAGAGUACGGCAGAGGGGGAUGGAAUUCCGCGUGUAGCAGUGAAAUGCGUAGAUAUCAGGAGGAACACCGAUGGCGAAGGCAGGUCUCUGGGCUGACACUGACGCUCAUGCACGAAAGCGUGGGGAGCAAACAGG
rnacentral:rRNA from 1 species